rnacentral:rRNA from 1 species
GAUGAACGCUGGCGGCGUGCCUAAUACAUGCAAGUCGAGCGAACAGAUAAGGAGCUUGCUCCUUUGAAGUUAGCGGCGGACGGGUGAGUAACACGUGGGUAACCUACCUAUAAGACUGGGAUAACUUCGGGAAACCGGAGCUAAUACCGGAUAAUAUUUAGAACCGCAUGGUUCUAAAGUGAAAGAUGGUUUUGCUAUCACUUAUAGAUGGACCCGCGCCGUAUUAGCUAGUUGGUAAGGUAACGGCUUACCAAGGCGACGAUACGUAGCCGACCUGAGAGGGUGAUCGGCCACACUGGAACUGAGACACGGUCCAGACUCCUACGGGAGGCAGCAGUAGGGAAUCUUCCGCAAUGGGCGAAAGCCUGACGGAGCAACGCCGCGUGAGUGAUGAAGGGUUUCGGCUCGUAAAACUCUGUUAUUAGGGAAGAACAAAUGUGUAAGUAACUGUGCACAUCUUGACGGUACCUAAUCAGAAAGCCACGGCUAACUACGUGCCAGCAGCCGCG